UUUGCCACACUGCAACACCUUACA
rnacentral:miRNA from 1 species